rnacentral:rRNA from 1 species
AGUGAACGUUGGCGGCGUGGAUUAGGCAUGCAAGUCGUGCGGAAGUGGGCUCGCAAGGGCUUACUUUAGCGGCGUAAGGGAUAGUAACACGUGGGUAACCUACCCCCGGGACUGGGAUAGCUGCGGGAAACUGCAGGUAAUACCGGAUAACGUCCCCGGACCAAAGGUGUGAUUCCGCCUGGGGAGGGGCCCGCGUCCUAUUAGCUAGUUGGCAGGGUGAUAGCCUACCAAGGCUAAGAUGGGUAGCGGGUGUGAGAGCAUGACCCGCAUCACUGGGACUGAGACACUGCCCAGACACCUACGGGUGGCAG